UUCGGGAUUUUCCCCACCGAUCAAACCGUUUGCUUUCGAUUCGUGUUAAAAUAUUUUGUCGAUUUUCAAUGAAAAUCGCAUUCAAAAAAUCCAGAACCCGCGCUAAUUGCCUUAUCGCCGCUGGCGUCAAGCUGGCAACAUGGAUAAUAUUUAUUAUUUACAGUUGGCAACGCGGAAGUGUUAUCACAUUUCGGUGAAAACAAUCAUCGCCGGCCGCUCGCUGCUGAUAAAAAAUAUUCAGUAAUCACUAUAAUCAGUCGAACGAUCUAACCGUGUUAGAAAAUAGUGCUUUCGGAUUUACUAGGUUUUUUACAAAGUGAUGCGUAAGUACGUAGCCAGACAACGAGCAGUGUCUUGGCCAAAAAUAAUACUAGCGUCGGCCGUAGGUGUUAUCGCGGGUGUAUACAUUUGGAAGCCGUUUUUCGAAUCGCUCGAUCCCGCAAAACAGUCUAAUACCAAACCUAAGAAAGAAUGAAACCAGUCAAACCAGCUAUUCGGCCUGGCGGACCGUUAGCCACAAACUUCAAUAGAUUAAUGGCUAUGCUCGGCCUGAGUUGGUUCGGCUAUGUGUUAGUAGUACGAUAUGUGAUCAAACCAUUCAACAAAAAACAACGGUACAAGGAGGCCGAAAUUUUUGCAAACCAGCUUUAUGAAGAUGAGAAAAGAGCAAAACAACACGAGCAGAAUGAAUUUGAUUAAUAUGUGUUUUUAGCAUUUAUGAGAUGAUAUUGUUACUUUUUUUUUUAUACUUUAUUACACAUUUGUAAAAUAGUAAAUUUACUAGAGAUAAUAAAUAAUACAUAAGUUGAAGUAUUUAAAUAUGAUACUUUAAUAUUGUGGAAUUCAAAUUA